UCGGGGGUCCCAGUUCCGAA
rnacentral:sRNA from 1 species